AGCAGUUAUGCUACGGACCAUUUAAAAUUAAUUUCACUGAUUUUCGAUUAAUUCAAUUAAAAUUAAUAAAUAAAAUUAACAAGUACUAUCCCUCCAGAAAUUUCUUUUCGUGUCGCCAGCGAUAAAAUUAGAAAGUAUUUUUACCAUAGGAGGGCUUGCGUUCCGCGUUCGAUUUCCGAUAUCGAGCGAAAUACCGGCAGUUCUGGUCAGAAACUCAUGAAGUGCGUAUAGUGUGCAGCAAAAUUUCUCUUUUUUAAGCGGCGAAGAUCUAGAAUCCAUCAAAUAUACGCUAUUUAAAUGGAAUAAAAGCACCAUAAAUACUAGUUAUCCAAAAAUCCAACGUUCAAAUCAACAGUAACCAAAGAUAUACCAAUUUAAGUAUUAAAACACACCGUAAUGGCGACCAAUUAUUAUCAACUCUAAGCUGCACACAGAUUCUAGACUUCGCCGCAUCCCAUAGUUCAAAUCCUUGAAAUGUUGGAGCAUCCUAAGGAAAAUUGUUGAAGGCCUUACCUAUAUUUACCUAACGUAUCAACAGGACACCCAGUAAUUUGGCUUCGUUUCAAACAGCCUUCCAGACACUUUAGAUGUUGUAGUGCUAAGAGGAUUUCACUUUAAAUAGACCUGUCUUCUUGGGAAUAACAGUUUGGAAGAUAAGAUAAGCUUUUAGUUUAUUUAUUUUUUUGUUAAAGUAAAGUCAAGUUGCUUCUCAUUUACAAGUAUAAUAUAGUAGCCUGUAAACUUUUUGUGUGCACAUAAUCAGGUACAUUUUGACUAGUUUCUUUUGUAAUUAAUAGGGGGGUGCUAGUUUUGUUUUU